UUAUGUGAUCGUCUCUCGCAUAUCAAUAAGCGGAGGAAAAGAAACUAACAAGGAUUCCCCUAGUAACGGCGAGUGAAGCGGGAAGAGCUCAAAUUUGAAAUCUUAAAGGGUUUCCCUUUACGAAUUGUAGUUUAAAGAAGUGUUUUCUGUUGAGGUUUUGGUAAAAGUUCUUUGGAAUAGGACAUCAUAGAGGGUGAGAAUCCCGUAUUUGACCUUUACUUUCAACUUUGUGAUACACUUUCAAAGAGUCGGAUUGUUUGGGAAUGCAGUCCAAAAUGGGUGGUAAAUUUCAUCUAAAGCUAAAUAUUGGCGAGAGAACCGAUAGCGAACAAGUACCGUGAGGGAAAGAUGAAAAGAACUUUGAAAAGAGAGUUAAACAGUACGUGAAAUUGUCAAAAGGGAAGCGUUUGACACCAGUGUUGUUUUUUCUGAAAAUCAAUUAAAGAACUGUUUAUGCUAAGCUUGUUUAGACUUUAUCAGCUAUCUGUUUAGUUUUGAGCUUUUCUUUAAUGCACUUUUCAGUUAACAAGUCAACAUCAAUUUCUUUUGCUGUAAAAAAGCUUGAGGAAGGUGGCUUGAGAUUCGUCUUAAGUGUUUAUAGCCUCUUGCCUAUGCAGUCGGAGAGAUUGAGGUCUGCAGCGUAGAUCCUUCGGGGCUAAAUGCAUUUGUGCUAAGUUAUAGCAUUUUAUAGACAACUUGUUGACUAUGAUUUGUCUUGUAGCUUACUCGCUUAUGUUAUUUUACCUACGCUUAGGAUGUUGAGUCGUAGAGCACGCAG
rnacentral:rRNA from 1 species